rnacentral:tRNA from 1 species
ACCGGGCUGGGCCGGGCGCAGGCCGCGCUGCUCGAGUUGCUGCUCGAUGGCGCUGCGGAUGCGCUGCUCGGUC